CUAACAAGGCAUUUGCCUGGGCAUUUGGGGGUGUCGUUUUUUUGCUGCCCCCUGGAAUGUGCCGCCCAAGGCAAGUGCCUUGUUUGCCUCGCGGCAAAUACAGAGCUGCAUGCACACAAAUAAACGACACACAAUAAGCCUCACUUGAAGACCUCUGUCUACAUUGCAAAUGAAAUAGGAGUUGCAAAGUGAGCAGUCCCUGGAGUAUAG